UACGAAGGGGGCUAGCGUUGUUCGGAAUUACUGGGCGUAAAGCGCACGUAGGCGGAUCGAUCAGUCAGGGGUGAAAUCCCAGGGCUCAACCCUGGAACUGCCUUUGAUACUGUCGAUCUGGAGUAUGGAAGAGGUGAGUGGAGUUCCGAGUGUAGAGGUGAAAUUCGUAGAUAUUCGGAGGAACGCCAGUGGCGAAGGCGGCUCACUGGUCCAUUACUGACGCUGAGGUGCGAAAGCGUGGGGAGCAAACAGG
rnacentral:rRNA from 1 species